UCUCUCUCAUGCUGCUCAUGUGAAAAAUGGUCUGGCAGGCAUUUGCUGAAUCAAUGUAAAACAUUCUUUCCAGACUGAGGCUAUCUCUGGCAUUUUACCCCAUGGCACCAGUUACAAGUUAGAUUCCAGCAGUCAAACUCUGCACCACCUUAUACCCUUUAAAGCCCAGCUGAUGUCAAUCGGGACACAUGACGUGUCAGUCAGCACAGAAUUUGGCCUCGUGUCCAAGCCUCACCUCUUAAAGUUGCAAAAAUACCCUCUCAAGAACAUCCAUAGGCACAUGGACAUCAAUUACAAUUAUACAACACCUUAACUAAGUGUGCAUAAAAAAGUAUCUAAAUCCCUGCCAUAGUUAACUUAACCAUACAUUACGUAUAUAAUUCCUAACAGUCGCACGCUGAGAGUACAGGUGGGCCCUGCACCAUGCUCUAAUGGUCAACAAACUCAGUCUCUUUCAGACCAAUGUGGGAAGCAAAUUCCAAAGUUGAGGGCCCUAUACUGAGCCACCAGCCAUUCAUAUCUAGGGACCAUAGAAACAACACUCCAGGUGACUUAUCUGCUGAGACAGCAUUUAGGAGGAGAGCCAGUCAUGCAGGCCCCCUCAGCAGAAAGCCAGCUAGCUGGAACAUAUGGGACAGAAAAAAAUCCUCACGUCUGAUGCUCCUGCAGCAAAUCUGUAAUUCACAACAAUAGCACACAAGACCCCCAAACUAAGAGAAAUAAAGCAGACUGCUCCCUAAGACAGAGGAACAACUCAACCCACCUUACUGUCUGUACCAUGAUCAAUGGAACUGGAGUCAGAAAGCCCAUGUUUCGUGGAGGGACUGCUAUUGAUCGGAUAUCAGGAAGGAACACAGGGAGUUAGGCUGGACUCAGGCACAUGGACAGAGCAGAGCACAAAUGUUCAUGAGGUUCCACUUGUUCAACUUGCACAUGUUAUCCUCAUUGUAGGGAAAGGCAGCAAUGAUACAGAAGCUGAACAAGACCAUGACAGAAGACUAUAAACUUUUCUACAGUGAUAUGGGGAAAAGAGCAUAAAACUUAGCCUAGAAAAUAAUGCAACUUGAACAGCGAAGGUGAAUAUAUUGGAUGCUUGCUCACAGCGGAGGGCCUGAAAGCAGAUCCCAACAAGAUCAAAGCAGUCAGAAACAUGCCAGCUCCAGUGGAUGUUUAUGGUCGCUCCAGUCUGUAGACCGGAGCAACCAUAAACAACCGCAUUACAAAUAAAAUCAUUCCACUU